rnacentral:rRNA from 1 species
CGAUUACGGCUCAGUAACACGUAGCCAACCUACCCUUAGGACGUGGAUACCCCCGAGAAAUUGGGGUUAAUCCGCGAUAGAUGUAAUGUCCUGGAAUGGUAUUACGUCUAAAGGUAUUUCAUACAUGUUUGAAAUAUGCCUAAGGACGGGGCUGCGGCCGAUCAGGCUGUUGGUGAGGUAAUGGCUCGCCAAACCUUUGACCGGUACGGGCCAUGAGAGUGGUAGCCCGGAGAUGGACACUGAGACAACGGUCCAGGCCCUAACGGGCGCAGCAACCGCGAAACCUCCACAAUGCACUCACGUGCGAUGGGGCUAUCUCGAGUGCCACCUGAUGAAGGUGGCUUUUCCUUGGUCUUCAAAGCCUUGGGAAUAAGAGGGGGGCAAGACUGGUGUCAGCCGCCGCGGUAACACCAGCCCCUCGAGUGGUGGGGAUGAUUAUUUGGCCUAAAGCGUCCGUAGCC